GCGGCUUGAGCUUUUCCACUCGGCUGCCCCAAAAAGAGUAGGGGGGGGAGGGGACAACGCUUGCAAAAACCCCCAAGUUUCAUGGCAACAGCAAAGUUCCUUCCGUGUGAAAGAAAACUUUGGUAGACGGCGUGUGAGUGGCGCGGACUCACUGGAGCUGUCAAUCACGGGCUUCCCUUUCCGUCUUUCCCCUCCUCUUCCCCUUCCAUCUUUCCUCCCUUCCUUUUUACUUUUCCCCGAGGCACGGACACCUGCACGGGCAGGGCCGGCAGCUCCUUGAAAGCACGGCGGGUACAGAGCUGCCUCGCCCCGCCGCUGUGGGACCGACGGCAGGCGGGACGCGCUGCCCUGUCCCGGUCCCUUCUCGUCGCCUCUCCGCGCCCUGCUCCAACUCCGGACAAAAUCAUCUGUUGAACAAAGUCGAAGGGGAAAUAGAUCCCACUUGCGACGAGCUACGGUGUUGUCAGCGUUUUGUCUUUGUUGUAGUUUGGUUUGCUGCUGGUGUGUUCUGGGGUGGUCAAACUUUUGCAGCCCGAGAGAAGAGGGUGACAGGGAAAGUUUCAGGCAGUAUCACUCUAGGAAGCACGCUUCGGGCGGAACUUUUAACUUUUGCAACAUGUUGGAAAAGCUCUAGACAAGCUGUAAUUAACCUCAAACCCCUUCAAAUAUUUUGACCCCUUCAGCCGAUGUUUAAGACGUGCCAAGCUGGGCUGAAUAGCGGACUGUCCCUGAAAUUACUUUAUACAAACGUUUGUUGGAGGGACUGAAACAUGCUUCCAUGCAACGAAAAAUGAGGCGAAAUACGGAAUGUCAGGUCAUGCUGAAAGCCCCAUGAGCUGUGUUUCCUUCGAUGUUUAAAUAAAUAUUACAACGUUAAGUUUCA